UACGUAGGGGGCAAGCGUUGUCCGGAUUUACUGGGCGUAAAGAGCGUGUAGGCGGCCAUACAGGUCCGUUGUGAAAACUGGAGGCUCAACUUCCAGACGUCGACGGAAACCGUGUGGCUAGAGUCCGGAAGAGGGGAGUGGAAUUCCUGGUGUAGCGGUGAAAUGCGCAGAUAUCAGGAAGAACACCAAUGGCGAAGGCAGCUCUCUGGGACGGUACUGACGCUGAGACGCGAAAGCGUGGGGAGCGAACAGG
rnacentral:rRNA from 1 species